rnacentral:RNase_P_RNA from 1 species
UCAGAUGACCGGAUGGCCGCGUCUUUUCCGUGAGGAAAGGCCGAGGAAAGUCCGGGCUCCACGGAACGAGGACGCCGGGUAACGCCCGGCCGGCGCGAGCCGAGGGAAAGCGCCACAGAGAGCAGACCGCCUUCUUCUGAAGGUAAGGGUGAAAGGGUGCGGUAAGAGCGCACCGCCGGGGCGGCAACGUCCCGGGCAUGGCAAGCCCCGUCCGGAGCAAGACCGAAUAGGGACAGCACGGGUUCUCCCAGCCCCCGUUCCGGGGCCGCUGUCCGGGUUGGUUGCUGGAGGCGUCGCGCAAGCGCCGCCCGAGAGGAAUGGUCAUCGCCCCUUUUGGGGAACAGAACCCGGCUUACAGGUCAUCUGACGCU